GAUGAGUGCACCAAUGUUGCGAAAUUGAGGGUGCUUGAGGCGAGAGAGGAAUUUUGUUCCUAUUUUUUGGGACCAUUUUAAAGGAUUAAGCUAUUUGUACAUUCAAAUAUGUACAUCUUGUUUUUCUUAUGUGUCAAAAAUCUAGCCAUCGUUUGAAAAAAGUAUUAAUUAAAUCAAGGUUUAGAAAUUUGUCAAAGUACUAAAAUGUCAAACUAGUUGUAAACAAUGAUGUAUAUGUAGAAUCAGGGCCGGUCCUGUGAUUGUCAAGGCCCGAGACGAAGUUCCUAAAUUAGGCUCCCAAAAAAGUCUGACAUUGUUAGCCACCUGCAGAUUGUGGCGAAGAACAAAGAAGAGGAGAAGAUGGGCACGAAAGAGAAGGAAGAAGCAAAAAAGCCCAAUUCAAAAAAAAAAAAAAAACACCGAUUUUCCUUUUACAUAAUUUCACACACACACACAAUAUCUGGGCCAAAUGAGGCCCCUUCAGUUUUGGGCAUGAGGCAAUGGCCUCAUUGGCCUCUGCAUAGGACCAGGAAUGGUUGCAUUUUAAAUUUUUAGCGGACCUCAACAUUUAUAUUUAAUUUGCUUGAGCACCGAUACUAAUAUCUUAAAUGACAUACCAAGAGUACAAUCCCUUGGGCUUAAUAUAGUUGAGAAGAGGCUCAUAUGCAUUUCUGCU
rnacentral:lncRNA from 1 species